GUUUGCUGGAGUCAAAUUGUCCAUGUUAAGAUGCUUCAGCAGGGUGCCAACUCGGAUGUCCUGCGACAUUCGUUGUACAGUCCCUCUGCUCCAAUGCUGGAAGCAAGAUGGCCGUUGUAGUGUCCAUUUUGACUGCCACAGAUGGGCGCUGGAGGACUCUCCGCUGCCUUUCCUGGGGUGUCCAUCUGCUGUUUGAAGUCUGACAGGAGUCCUGGGAAAGAAAGACGUUGGGGUUAUUUUAAUCGUAUGGAGGAGAGUUUGACUGUGAAACUGCACAAAAGACAACAAGACAGCUGAGUUUAUCCCCAUGGGAAAUUAAGAAUCCAACAUAUAUACAGUAUAUUCAACAUUUGAAAAUAGCAAUAAGAAUUGAAUUCUCUGGCGGUCAUCAAGCAGCGCUGAUAUGUAUUGUAUAUAUUUUUUGCUGCUGUUGUACAUUGCCUUUUCUGUAAUACGAAACAUUUUGACUCCCACAAACUCCUUUACUUUAUUGGCGGAGGCAGACAGGAACAAAACCAAGUGUGGGUUGAAGAAAAAUCAUGAUUCUAGGAAAGAAGAUAGUUUUAGAACAGGAAGUCUUCAUCAGUUAAGAAGAUGACUUCCUGUUGGCUGUCUGAAACGACAAAGGCAGGAAACAUGAGUUUUGCGAUACAGUGGCAAUAGUGUUAAACGUUAAGGGAGAUGGUUUAAGGGAUGGGUGGCAGAAGGGAAAAUAUAGGGUCAUUUCCUCACUUAUAGCCUACUUAACAUUCUGUAUGCUGAAGCGUUGGCACGCCAUACGGAGCUAUCUACUGCCAAAACUCUGUCAUCACACAAGGUGUUCAAUAGGCUUAAUCCCAAAAAGUUGGAAAAGACCUUUAACUCUCCUCUCCCUAUAUAUUCCACCUAUAUCCUCUGUGAAAUCUGGCAGUGAUCCAGCAGAGAGGUAUGUGAACUCUGCUUGGCCCAGACCCUCCCCCCUUAAAUCCAGACCGCUCAACAAUGUCUCCCUGUAUUGCAGUGGGGGGAAAAGAGCAAGAGAGAAGUUAAACCAGCAGUGUGAUCGAUGCCCGCUCUCCCCCUGCCUCAUCUCUCCCCCUCAUCUCCUUCCUUCCUGUUCCCUCCAUCUCUACCCAGCCUGCGCUGCCGUUUCCUCCUUUGUCAGAAACAGACAGGUGGCCCCUGACUGCUAAUUUUAACCGGGCCGAUUGUCUGCCUGUGUUCCCCACAGCUAUGUAUAGAUGCCUGUAAUAAACCAAGUAGAUCAG